rnacentral:rRNA from 1 species
GACGAACGCUGGCGGCGUGCCUAAUACAUGCAAGUCGAGCGGAUCUUCAUUAGCUUGCUUUUGAAGAUCAGCGGCGGACGGGUGAGUAACACGUGGGCAACCUGCCUGUAAGACUGGGAUAACUUCGGGAAACCGGAGCUAAUACCGGAUAAUCCUUUUCCUCUCAUGAGGAAAAGUUGAAAGACGGUUUCGGCUGUCACUUACAGAUGGGCCCGCGGCGCAUUAGCUAGUUGGUGAGGUAACGGCUCACCAAGGCGACGAUGCGUAGCCGACCUGAGAGGGUGAUCGGCCACACUGGGACUGAGACACGGCCCAGACUCCUACGGGAGGCAGCAGUAGGGAAUCUUCCGCAAUGGACGAAAGUCUGACGGAGCAACGCCGCGUGAGCGAUGAAGGCCUUCGGGUCGUAAAGCUCUGUUGUCAGGGAAGAACAAGUACCGGAGUAACUGCCGGUACCUUGACGGUACCUGACCAGAAAGCCACGGCUAACUACGUGCCAGCCGCCGCCGUAA